UUUCCCAUACAGACCCACAAAGUCUGCUGGGUCUGAGCAAACUGGUGGGUACCUGGUUUGCUUUUGCUUAUAAAGGUCUCAAGGCCCAUUGGUCUAGUCAUUUUCCUUGGUUAAGUGUCCCACACACACAGCUUUUCAGAGCAAAGGAAUAAAAGUCACUCAUUGAAACCCCUGACUGGCUGGCAUGCUUUCCUGUUUAUCCAUUUUGCUAGAUGAUGAAACAAAAUGAUAGUAAGGUGUUGUCCAAACAAAGCAGCAGAAGAUGUAGCACACACGGUUGCUCAGUGCAAGCACCUCACAGCCCCAAAUAUCUGAACUCAAAUUCGGAAUGUCUUAAAUCCCCAAAGAAGAACACAUGGUUAUUCUUUGUGUAUAUAUAUAUAUAUCUCUCAUUUUAAAACGUCGGGUGUGACAAUUUGUUUGGAGACCCUGUUUGAGAGGAGUUUCAGAUAAAAGGUCAUAUAUAAAAAUUGUCUACUGUUGCGCCAGCUAGUGCUGAACAAUUUCAUUCAAAUCCUGAGUAUGUGCCCUGCUGUUACUUCCUUUGGCAGUUGACCGUUGAAAUCAGAUUUUUACUUGGUUUUUAAAGUAUAAGCUAAACAAGCAAUAAAAGGGGGAAUGGGGCGUGCUAGUAUUUCAAUUUGCUCUCUUGUUGCUCUACUUCUGUGCCUCUGUGCAUUAUUAAUAUUUGGAUGCAUGCAGUGCUAGCAUGGAACUUUGGUCUUCACAAUUACUGCAGUUUUUCCAGAAAACACUCACACCAAUAAAUGUAACAGAACAUUCCAUUUGUUAAUGGGCAUAUGUGCAUAAGCAGUGUAGAAAAUAGGCUCAUGUUAGAAACUGGCUACAUCCUUCAUAACUAAAAGUGUGGUUAUAUGAAUGGACACUGUCAAUGUUCAUAGCUUAAACCUGGGUACCUGGUCAAAAUGCUUAGGAAACAUUAAAAUUGAGCUAAAUUGUCUCAAGUCCUUUUAUUCAUAUAAUAAAGAUUGAAGGGAUGGGGGGGAGGCUGACAUUUUCUGGUUUUGUUUGUGAAAUUGCUGGACACAACCUUGACAGUAUCCUUUAAUGUAAUGAGGUCAAUUGUAUUGUUAACCAUCUUUUUAUGUAUAAUAGUGAAAAAUUUACAGUAAGUUGGUGUUUACAACCUAUAAUCAGGUAAAAUCUGUAUGUGACCUGUUUAUAAGUUGUACUGAGUUAGUUUUUGUGAACUGUGGAAGAGUAAGCCAUGAGAGCGAUUUAACCAGCUUUAAAGGACAUAAGUUGUGCUUUUUAAGCACGGUGGAUCAAAGGAAAACCCACUAAGACAGGACUUCAGCAGCCAUUUGAGUAUGGACAAGUCAGCAUAAAUAAAGAAUGAGAAGGCAGCAGCAGCAAGAGCUUCAACAACAGAGAAGUGGAGGCAUAAGAUACUAUGAUGCUAGUGAGCAACUUCCCAAAAGCUAGUUAAAGCUGCUUAUUGCAACUGAAAUGUCGAAGAAAGUAGCAGGAAGGAGCUUCGCCUUUUGGAACAUCAAUGAGCUAGUUGCCACAGGCGCUAGGUCUAGCAUUUAGACCUGCAAGGAAGGGCAAUAAGCAUUAGGUAAGGCUUGAAUUUGAAUUUUUUCACUAAUUAAAUGAGUGCUUUUUUUGUAAAGCAAGGUAAGAGUAAUCUUUUUGAUUUGCAGGUGAAUGAGAACCCUACCUGCCUAACGAGGAAUGUCUUUCCCACACCUUAAAUACGAAGGUUUCUGGCUGGGUAAGGUUUGUAGCUCACAGUAAAAACCGAUGACACUGUUGGUUUCCCACAAGUCAAUGUCACAGUUGAGACACCCCUCAAGCUCAGUUUUGUUUUGGUGCCCAUUGAACAAAUUCUAAGACAUAGGCAGUUACAUUCUGCAAAGCCAUGGGUGUUUGUCAUAAGCUAGAUGUGCCUCUUCAUGUGUACAACUCAAUGUUCUAAGGUAAAGUCAUCCUUCAAUAAGGGGAAGUCAUGUUGGCUUUUCAAAAGUAAGUUUUUCAUGUAUGACUUUAAUAAGCUGUUCCCACCCUAAGAACUAGGAACUUUCACAGUUGUCAGAAUAAUUGUCUUCCUUAAAGCUCUAUAGCGUGUAAGUUUACUCUUGUGUGGACCAGUAGGGAUAGUCAAGUGUUUAGUCUUCUCCCCUAACCCAUCACAAACAGGGUCUCACUGUUGUCCUAGCCUGGAACUCAAUCCACCAGCCUUCUGUGUCUCCCAAGUGCUGGAGUUAAAAGGGUGGUGCCUGUAUGAUAACUCAAGUUCCUUUUUAAAAAAACAUCCAAAGAACAGUUGGGUUACUAUUCACAUAAUGUUGCUGGUUGUUCAUAAGGGCUAUUUCUGCUGCCCUGAAAGGGCUUAUUUGAAAAUUGCUUAAUUCAGGUUACUUCUUAAUAGAACAUUUUCAGGGGACAAAUCUGCAAAAUGUUUCCCACACAGGGAACAUCCCUGCAUCAACAAGUUUGCUUGGCAUUUAAGUCAGGACAAAGUUCACAGAAAUCAUAGUUACCAAUGAGGUAGCAAUCGUUCAAUGGUGGUUAACAGAUUGGAGAAAAUACAUUUGCUUAGGAGGCAUUUACAGUCCAUUUCCUUUCUGAAAUAAAGUUAUUUUACUAAUAUGGUUCCACUGUCAUUUCUGCAAAAACACUUUACAAUGGUAGAAGGGUAAGCAUAAAACAAAAGAGGCUGCCUCUGGUUUUGUUGGACCUGUGGGAUGCUGCUCCCAGUUUACAUGUCUGAAAGGUGUGUUCACAUUCGUGUAUAAAUUAGGGGACACAUGGUAAGAAAAAGUCCAUCUAGUAGGGGACUACAGAGAAAUGGGCUCGGUUUUUAAGGGUUCUGUUAAUGUCACAAUUUGAAACGCUCCUGACAAUAGUUCAGUAAUUGGCAUGGUAGCAAGCAUGCAGAUGUGCAAGGUGCUGUGAGGAUUGGUAGCCUGAGUAUUCAGUUUUAAACUUAACAUGUCUUCUAAUCUUUAUGACAGCAGAGGUGGUCUGUAAUUCAAUUGUUUUCAUUUGUAGCAUAAUGAAAUGUUACAGAAAGAUGACCUUUUCAUUAAAAUAUUUUUAG
rnacentral:lncRNA from 1 species